AGAACAAUAGCUCAGUGGCAGAGCACAUCUUUUGUAUGAGGAUGGUUCUGGGUUCAAUCCCUGGUAUUUCCA